ACCGUUCUAAAAAGUUAGACCAUAAUUUUGGUUGUCUUUACUUCUUUACCUGAUUAGUGUCUUAUGUUAACUAAAACUGCUUUUAUUCUUCUUAAAAAUUCAUAUCGCGGCGUUUUAAGAGCAUGUUAUGUUCCUUUUGGAAACGAUAAGGAUGCCCUACUGCGUAAUUAUUUGGAGUUUUCUCUCAGCUAUCUGCUUGAGCAUAGAUUUCUUCUGUAUUCUACUUUUUAGUUUCUAGAAAAUAUUUUAGGAAUUUGUUUAUGAAGUAUAUUAUUUUGGACGAUGCCAAUAAAUUCGCGGAGUUUGUAAAAGUUGCAAAAGAUAUCGAGUUUUUUUUAAGAAAAUGCGUUAUUCAGGCUGAGCUGAUUGAUAAAAAGGAUCAUCGUUACAGGCUACAUAUAAGGAAAGACGCAUAUUCACCUAAACACAGGAACCCAGCUUCUGCUUCGCUUGCACACUGCGUUAGUCCCCAGUGUUGUCAGCAGAGUUCCCGCGCUCAUUG